CAAGGAGGGGACGGGCCGAGAUGGUGGAGGAGAGAGCAGGAAAACGUGGGGGAGGUGCUGGCGAGAGAAAGAGAACUAGCGUGAGGAGGAGGAGGAGGAGAAACCAAAUAUAAUAUUUGGCGUGGAAAUGGGAUUUGGGGUUUUUUCCCUGGCAUCUUCAAAUCAUGAAAAGUGCAAUUAAUCAACAUUUCCCCCCCGCCCCUCGACAAGUGAGGACUGCUUUCUCCCUGGGUAAGUGAAGAGAAUUGAAGCAGGUAAGAGGCUAAGCUGACUUUGCAGAAGCCCCCAAAGAAGAGCACCCUUUGGAAUUAACCACCCUUUAGGUAAUUCAGUCUUGAACGGAAAUCGCAAGUCAGGAGCUGGGUUGAGUGCUUCUCAGUCGGGCAUUCAAAGCCCUCCAAAUCUGGCCCCACUUUAGUUAUCCAAUCAUAGCUGCCUCCAUCCCCCUGCAAGAACUCCCAGCUCCAAUCAGUGAAGUCUCCAUGCCAUUCUCAACGCGCAGCAGAUUCAUUCUUCCUUCGUGCCUUUGCUCAUGCUGUUCCCCUCACCUCCCCACCCCACCCCCUUUCCAGGAAUGCCCUCCCUCCCUCCUCUAUACCUCUCUCAAGCCAACCCAGGCUCUAAGGCACAGCUCAAGUCGCGGCUUGUCAGGGUCCCUGGCAGCCAAGGCCCCUGCCUGCCUCUGAGAGAAAGGCGUGCAGUUCUCGCAACAUGGAGGCUCAGGCUCCGGCCAGAAGCACCUUCCUUUGAAGCCCGUUGAACCCUUGGACGCACUCUGCGCCCUUCUGCCCAUUCAUACUUAGGAGACAGUUGGGGCCAGUAAGAAUAAGAGUCUGCUAGGAACAAGCAAGUCCCCUUUAAGAGCAGAAGAAUUGGCUUUUCUAGGUGGGGCUGAUCAGGGAGGCCUAAACUGCUAGGCCGAAGAAGACAACAGCCAAGGCCAGAUCUGGCACCAGAUGGAACAGCUGCUCAACUCACACUGACCUUUCUCUGGGCCUGUGGGUGUUUUGAGCUCCUCGGCUUUGACUUUUCUGACAGUUUCUAUCAGGUUUCUACCUAUCAGGUUCUCUGGCCACUUUCCUGCUGUGCUUGGACUUUGGGCCAUGAGGCUCUGCCACCUUUUAGAGUCCUGGGUGGGGAAUCUGAUUGGCUUGGGCUUCCUGGCUUUGCAGUGCUCUGUGCACUGCCUUGCCCUAGAACUCUCUUGCUUUUGCACCAGGGUGCACUCAGGCCUGGCUCCCAGAUUCACCCUGAAUACUCACAGUUGCAGAUGGCUGGGUGUGAAGAAAUGGGAGGGAGGAAGGGCACCUGGGUACAAAACACAGCUCCUCCAUGAGGAUUUCAGGCAUCCUGAUACCCUUUGCACUACUGCUUAAUGCAAAUUACCCAAGGUUAUUAUUAACCUAGCCACUUUGGGAAAAUACAGGUUGUUUAUGACUUCAUUUUGCACAUGUACCUUUGUGUCCUAUCUAAAGAAUAUUUUUCUGUACCAGAUUGAUAGACAUGGUGUGUACUAGACAGGAACUUUGAAGAAGAAUAAAAAUAGCUAAUGUUUGUUGAGCACAUUCAGCAUGCCAGAUCUAGCACUCUCUAUACAUUAUCAUAGUUAUUCCUUCCCAAACUAUAUAUACUGUAGGUGCUAUUAUUCACCUAUUAUGCAGAUGAAACAGAAGCUUAGAGAGGUUAAAUAACAUUCUUAAAUUUAUCCAAUAAUGAGGGAGCCAGGAGUUUGAUCCUGGAAGUCUAAUUCCGCAAUCUGCAACCCUUGCUGGAAAUGAUGUAAUACUGAAAAAUCUUGAAUGUAUAUGUGAACUCUAUGUCAAUGGGGAAGAUGGAGGAAGAAAAAAAAAAAAAAAGCAUUCAGGAAAGUUGCCACGUCCCCCAGAUUCUCAUUUUUUACUCAGUCAGGAGAGAACGAUGGCUUCACCUUGCCACACCCUGGGAGGGGGAGAUCUUAGGAGUGGGAGAUUUCAUUCAAGAAAGAUAAUGUCUCUGAGGCCUGCCAAAGGUCCUAGGAAAAGGAAGCUGAGAAACAAGACUUUCUUUUAAAGUAUGCUGCUGGGUGUCACACAGGCAGGCUUCCCUGAGUACAACUUUCGAGAGCUUUUUUAUCUGUUCCAUGAAAGAGCCAUGUUACCCCAGUUGCCACUAGAGGGGUCAGCAGAGCUGCAACCCUGAGCUGCCCUGUGGUGCUGUUGAGAGGGCAUCGUUGAGCCUUUGGGGCCUUCAGGGACCAAUAGGAAGUUAGAGGAGACAUCUGGGACUCUUGGGUUCAACCAGCAGUGAAAGGGGUGGUGGAGAGUAUCAGACUGAAGAGACCUGAUUGUCAGAAUGAGACAUCUUUGCAGGGAUCAGCCCCACUUGUCCCUCAACAUCUGGGAGUAGAGUGUGUUUUAUUGCUGUCUUCAGAGAGGACUAUAAACAAAAUAAGCUUAGGUUUAGAAACCUAAAAGAAACCUCAUAAAAUUACCCAAAGUCUUGAGUAGGGACUCACACCAAAUCCAGGCACCCUGAGUAAAGGUAGCAGUUGUAGCCAUGUGCUUCUGAAAUUGUGUGAAUUCCCCUGUGGUCAUGAAACCCUGUGCUAAGGUCCUGAAGCACCCAGAAACAAUGUGGCUCAUUUUCUUAGACCUUCAGUUUGACUCAGAAGUAAUGGAAAACAUUAGAGUAAGCACGGAUUUUUAAGAUAACACUAGAUUUUGAGCUUCUGUUUCCCAACCCUGAGGAGUUUAAGUCUAUUCUCCCUGUGAAAGUGUACUCCAGUGGAAAAUUUUGAGAAACAUUGUUGUAGUAGGAUAGAAAGACUCUGGUUGUUGAGUCAAGAGACCUGGGAAUUCAAACCUUCUGUGUCCGUCUCUAUAAAAAUGAAAAUAGUGGCCUACUUCACAGGGUUGUUAUGAGGAACAGCAUGUAAAUUGAUAUAUAAACCAUGGAAGUGCUGUACACAAAGAAAGAGAGACAAUCCACAAGGUGGACUGUUAGCACCUCAAAGGUAGUGGCUGUGUUUUAUUUAUCCUGGUAGUCCUGGGAUACAAUACUUAACUCCUAGGUAUUGAGUAAAUAUUUGUUGAAUGCAGGAGGUACUUAGCCUUGAUUUUCUUAACCCAAUGCAUUAUACCAUCAUGUUCUUCUAUAUCUGUAAACCUUGUCUCUUUUUGUAAACUUUUCAUACUGUCCAGACUAUAGCAUAUACAUUUAUCAUAUAUUUGUCAUGCCUGAUACGUAAUAGGAUUGGCCCCCCAAAUGUAAAUACAUACAUACAUACAUUCAUGUGUAAGAACCUGGUCCCAACUUGAAAUAGUUUACAUUCUUUGGAGCAGAGAGACAUAAUAACAUAUAUUGAUUGUGCAAGGUGAUGAGUUCUACAAUAGAAUCAUGUCUACUAAUGUGACGGAGACAUAGUGGAGGGAGGUAUUGGACUUGUUUAGGGUAAAACAGCUGUUUAGAGAAGGCCUCCUGGCUAGCAUUUGAAUUGAGUCUCACUGGAUGAAGAGAAGUUCAGUAGGAGAGCACUGAGAGAGGAGGAUUUUAGCAUAAGCACUGGUAUGAAGCCAUGACAGAGCACAUGGGAUGAGUGAAUAAUGCAUAGCCCGGUGUUAGCUCGGUGCUCAGAUCCUUGAUGGAGUGUAUAGGGGAGGGAAAGGAAGGAGAGGGGGACACAAGCCCAUUUUACAAGACGUUACUCUGUGUGAUUAGUUAUGAUUGUUCGGACAAAAGAUGAGGCCUAAAAUGGGUUUCAUCAAUAGUAAAUCAUCGUUAAGUGCCUAAGGUAUACAUUUCAUUUCCGCAAAUAUGGUGGUUUACAAAUACGGAAAAGAUAACUUUGGACCCUAUUCUGUUUUCCUUCCCUUAAAAAUGAAAAGUAUCUACUCAUCCUCUUUUCCCUUCAUUCCCUCCUCUGCCUCUUCCAUUGCAAACUUUUCCUCCUAGGAGUUGAAAGUAGAGUGUGUAAUCACCCACAUGUUAUUAUUUAUGGGGAUAAGGAAGGAAGGCUUUCUACCUCCGAAAACUUUGUAUCAGAAAGUGAUGGAUCACCUAUUUGGGCUAGGCUGCUGUCUUUCAAAAUGCAUACAGUCUUAGAGGAGCUGAUGUAUUCAGUUCCAGUGCUGUAAUGUUAUUGAGUUUUCAGUCUUAAUAGGAUUAGAAGAAGCGAGGUGGUGGUAGGGGAAAGAGGACAAGAAAAAAAGCAAGAUUAUAGAAGAGGUAAGUUGGAGGGUUCAAAACCAAGUACACAUUGGCAAAUUUGAAUAAGUUUUCUCCAUGCCAUACUUACUAAUGUAUGAUGUGAAAAUUGGAAUUCUCUUGUUAGAGCACAAAUUUUCCUUUAUAUCAUUAAAACAAUGGUUUGUUAAGGCAAAGUAGCUAACUAUUCAAAUACCAGGCAAGGCAGUAGGAUGUUAACACUGUCUUUAUCUGGCUCUGUGACCCUAUCUACAGGAGCCAUUCUUUCAGGUUAUUUCUAAGGAUUAAUGGGAUAAAAGCUCUCAAAGUGUACUUGCCUCUUCAAGUGAAAGGUACUAUGAAAAUGAAUGCCAGGUACCGUUUGGAUUUCACUUAGAAAUUCUCCACUGUUGUUACCAUAUACAUGUUUAUGUUGUGAACCUGCAAUUCUCUUUAUAUUAAAAAAGGUUCAAGUUAAUAUCAUCUGGCUGAAUGUUAAAGGAAGUGUUUGCUCUUACUUGGGGCUAGAAAGGUCCCAAGUAGAAAUUUGAGAUCUUGAAAAUUCAGCCUACCAGCAGCUGUGAACAAAAGGGAGUAAAGAAAAAGCAUAUUUAACAAAUCCUAAAAGUGACAAUGAGAAGACACUAAAGCCAGCCCUACAAUGAGAAGGUCAACACCAGUGCUGUCUGGACUGGUGGAGCCUAAUCAGUGAUCCACAAACUCUCUCAUUCCUCAAUUCAUUUAAAUACUUUUAUUAUUAUUAUAACGGGACAUCAGAAAGAUUUAAAAAUAAAUGGUAAAUAAAAUAUUGUUUGAAUCUUCAAGAAGUUCAUCAUUUAAGACUAGAACUCUCAGUGCACACAUAUUUUUUAAAGUGCAGUAAACAUACAUGGGACCAUAAAUAAAUAAAUAAAUAAAUAAAUAAAUAAAGGUGUGUAACAGGAUAACUGAUUGGACUAUUAAUUUGGUUUAUGUUCUUAUAUUUUCCCCUUUCCUCCAUUCCAAACAGGCUUUAGGAAAGUGUUGUGUUCCUCUGUGAUAGGAACAAUUCACAUUGAAAAUGAAGCCUCCUGGGCCACAAGACCUUAGAAUGAAGUGUCAGUGUUAUCCCCGGAAUUGUGCCUUCCAGUCUGCUUUCCAGAUUUUAUUUAUUUGUCGGAGAGAGCAGAAGCAUGGAGAGCUACAGGCAGAACAUGCAAAACAGGCAGAGGGAAAAGCAGGCUCCCUGCUGAGCAAGGAGCCCUAUGUGAAACUCAGUCCGAGGACCCCGGGAUCAUGAUCUGAGAGGAAGGCAGAUACUUAACCAACUGAGCCACCCAGCCGUCCCUGACUUGUUUCAAUUAGGAUAAUGCCUUCAAGGUCAUCCAUAUGUUGCAAAUGGAUUCUCUCAAUGGUGUCCAGUUCUUGUUAUUCUUGGAGGGAGAGCAAAAGUCAGGAACAACCUAUGUCAUCAUCUUCGUGACAUCACUUCCCACCUCGUGUAUUUGAGGGAAGAAAGAAGUCUUUUGAUAAUCUUCUUAAGCACCUCAGAAAAGACCAUUUCCUGUCAGGGAAGACAGCAAGAAUGGGAGAGCAAGACAUGAAGAUGGAGAUCACAAGUAGGCAGAGAGAGAGGAGGAAGCCGACUCCCCGCUGAGCAGAGAGCCCGAUGUGGGGCUCAAUCCCAGGACUCUGAGAUCAUGACCUGAGCCGAAAGCAGAGUUUUUAACCCACUGAGCCACCCAGGUGCCCCAUGACUUAUUAUCUUUUUAAUGUAUUCUCUGGGUUUCUUUUUCUAAUAGUUUGCUCUUAUUUGUGUGUCUGUUAAUAUUAUAAUUUUGUUGUUAUAUUUUUAUAUCAGGUUUAUGCUGGACUCAUAAAAUAAGUUAUGAAUAAAUUUUCUCUCUCUAUUCCUUGAA